rnacentral:rRNA from 1 species
ACGCACGCUGGCGGCGUGCUUAACACAUGCCAGUCGAACGGAAAGGCCCUGCUUUUGUGGGGUGCUCGAGUGGCGAACGGGUGAGUAACACGUGAGUAACCUGCCCUUGACUUUGGGAUAACUUCAGGAAACUGGGGCUAAUACCGGAUAGGAGCUCCUGCUGCAUGGUGGGGGUUGGAAAGUUUCGGCGGCUGGGGAUGGACUCGCGGCUUAUCAGCUUGUUGGUGGGGUAGUGGCUUACCAAGGCUUUGACGGGUAGCCGGCCUGAGAGGGUGACCGGCCACAUUGGGACUGAGAUACGGCCCAGACUCCUACGGGAGGCAGCAGUGGGGAAUAUUGCACAAUGGGCGGAAGCCUGAUGCAGCAACGCCGCGUGCGGGAUGACGGCCUUCGGGUUGUAAACCGCUUUCGCCUGUGACGAAGCGUGAGUGACGGUAAUGGGUAAAGAAGCACCGGCUAACUACGUG